UACGUAGGGUGCGAGCGUUAAUCGGAAUUACUGGGCGCAAAGCGUGCGCAGGCGGUUUUGUAAGCCAGAUGUGAAAUCCCCGGGGUUAACCUGGGAAUGGCAUUUGGGACUGCAAGGCUGGAGUGCGGCAGAGGAGACUGGAAUUCCUGGUGUAGCAGUGAAAUGCGUAGAUAUCAGGAGGAACACCGAUGGCGAAGGCAGGUCUCUGGGCUGACACUGACGCUCAUGCACGAAAGCGUGGGGAGCAAACAGG
rnacentral:rRNA from 1 species